rfam:Zea mays cultivar B73 chromosome 1, whole genome shotgun sequence.
GUACCUUUUUCGGUCUUUUGACUAAGAUAAAAUGUAAUAUUUGUUCUUAUCAGUUCGAUGUCUGAUAUGUGGACCAUAUAUUCACUUUGAUAUUAAAUUUUUUAUGGGUAUUAAAUAAGAUUGUGUGCUAGCAUAUAGCCAGUGCUAUCGCUACGAUCCUGAGGAGGUAAGCGGUCGGCAGCGACAACACUA